AUGCGCCGGCGAUGCGCUGCUGGGCGAGGAGGAGCUGCAUCCGCGUGCGCUGGUGCUAGAUCUCAAUGCGCCGGCGCUCGAUCUGCUUUGUGGAGAGGCGUCAAGGAGGCGCUGAAGCGGAGCCCGAGCGGCGCCGGCGCGGGCGUGAAGACGGCGGCGUGGGGAGCUGGAGCCCGAGCGGGAGGAGUUGGAGCCGCAUCUGGACGUCGCCGUGAUGAGGAGCUGGAGCCUCAUCUGGACGCCGCCAUGAGCUGGACUUCCCCCGACCACGACGACCCCGACGCCUUGAGCAAACAUCUCCUGAAUCAAAUGCAGGCAGCAGCUCAGGUUGAGGAGAUGAACCUGGGCAGCUGCCGAGCCCAGCAACAGCUUGAGGAAGAGCCUCGACCUGGGCGUGCACGUGCCAGGAGGAGCUCCUGGACGUGGGAGAGGAGGAGUGUCUGGGCUGGAGGUGGGGGCGCCUGGACCUAG
rnacentral:rRNA from 1 species